CAAGCAGUGAUUGGGGGGGGGGGCAAAAGUCUUGCCGCAGGCUGCCACUGGGGCAAGGUAUACCAGAGAUGUGGAACCCCGAAUCCAGACCAUACAAAUUGAUCACUUUAUGCUAACUCUUAAGACAGAAAACGGCCUAGAAGAUUAAUGAAAACGGCCUUCACUUUCUACUGACCCUGAAUACUGAAAAUUCACAGGUUCAGUUUGGUAGACAGUUGCCUACUACGUUGAGGCAGUAGCAGCUGCUGCAAACUCCUUGUUGGACGAUGGCCUGUCGUCUCCGACACCAGGAACUUGUGCUGUGCGGUUUACCGUUGCAGCCUCCUCGUCCCCGGCCCCUGUAACCUGUGCAGUCUCUUCAGCAAUCUGCUUUGAGCCCCUGCUUGCAGCAGUUUUUUAAGUGGUGAGUAUUGACACCAGUACAGUAUCAUAGCUAUGCAGCUAUCCAUGUUCAGAGAACAGAAAACUGGAAAGGCACAGUACUUGUAUGAGUAGAUGACAAGGCCAAUUGCUGUGCCGGCAAAAGCUACGAAGUACAUCCAGUCAACCUGCACAUGGGCAGAGUUUGCUUCCACCAGAUCAGUUUAUGAAUGGUUAUUGUGAAUUGAUAUGAAUAAAUGGAGAAAGAAAUCCAUGUGGUCAUACCUUCUCAUGGUAAGCAAAGAUACGGAUUAAAACAGCCCACAUGUCGGAGGUUAGUAGUGAGAGAUUUAGCAUGGUUGCACCACAUAUCUGUAAAAAUCAAAUGCUCAUAUGUUCUGUAAAUUUAUUCAGGACAAUCAUGAAUUAGUCUGCAAGAGGACAGUGGUUUCUACCUUGAGUAUAA